CAGUGGACAAACCCGCCUUUCCAUACGGCCAGGUACUCCACUGAUCCAUAUGGAGCUUCAGGGUCUAGACCCCAGCCCCAAUUCAAUGCAGGACGGUACUCCGACGCCUCUUAUGCUUUCACGAACGACUACUACCAAGAAGUCGCCGCCUUCUUCACCCGUACCGACAACACCCUCCUCGACAUCCAGAAUACGCAAGCAGAACAUGGACGACUCCUGGAACAGCAACAAAAGUGGAACCAGGACCACGCUACUGCAGUACAAGAACUGAGGCAAGACACUACAACAAUGAACGACAACAUCACCACCAUGAUGCGAUUCUGGAACAUUGGGUAAGACCGACAACCACAUCCAGCUUGGGGGAGUUUCUCCCCGUUUUAUCAAGUAAGUUUUUAUUUUGCUCUUCUUAAUUAUUCCUUUCUGUUUAAUAUUCUAUUUGUCUUAAAGAAAAAAACUUAGAAAACCCAAUAAAUAUUUUCUUGCUUUAAUUUACUGCAUUAUAUAAACAUAAAAACAAAAUAAAAAGAGUGUGUAGAUAAGUGUGCUUUAUUUAUCUGCUAAGUGUUAAUCUCUAGAAAAAUAAAAAGACUAAAAAGACGGAUGAUGGAAAGGAUAAACAGUUGCUCUGUUUGCUUACUUUCAAGUACUUAGCUUUUAUAUUGAAGAUCUUCCAGGAAUUACUAAAACUGAAAUUUACUAUCUAUGGGAAGCAUGAACCUAAAACUAAAGUCUAGGUAAGAGAAAGGCAUGAUAUAAAGUUUGAGCUACUGUUUAUCUUGUUCUUACAACACUGAGUUCUGGAGAUUUAUUUUGAAAACUUGCAAAUCACAUGAUGAGUUCCUAGCAUGACAAAAUUCCUACCACAACCAUACUUGCUAUAACAUCUUUUGCUACUUAUUUUUACAUUGAGUUUGAUCGAGCUGUGUAGACCCUUAGGAGCUUUUCAUGUGGUUAAAUUAAGAUAUUCACUUGCACACAUCUACUACACCAUCCAACACCAUUUAUUAAAAUUGCUAAAAAUAUUAUCACUCACUGUCCCAAGUGUUGUUAUUCUCUCUCUCCAAAAAGAUUCAAUGUAGAAGAAGCAUGGGUUAUGCAAAAAUAUGCGAGGAAAUAAAAAGAGGCAAGUGCCCGGAACCUCAAAAAAGAAAGAAAAAAAAAGAGAGUGAGACGAGAGGUAAAAACGGACAAGUGUCCAGAGUAGAAUUAGGGGCACAAAGAUGCCCACUUGAGCGGAAAAAAUGGACAAGUGUCCGACAGUAGAAUUAGGGGUAUUUACUACCCACCUAAAAAAAUAGCCCAUGUUCUCCCAAAGCAAAGAUCAAGAGAGGAGGAGAGAUAGCAAUAUGAGGAGCAAUGAGAAGUAUGUUUUAUCAUCACUUAUACAUUUUUACCAUCACUAUCAUUUACUCCACCACACAUGCACAUCUUGAUUUAAUUAUAUGCUGAGUUCCUUUGGAUCCAUGACUCGAUUAGACAACAUAUGUAAGAGCUGUUUUUUACACCUAUGAGCUCCACAUAAACAUUCUCUUAGCUAUAGGUAAGUGUCAUUUUUGGUAAGGAUCCACAAAUACCACAUAUAGAGAGACUUGAGAAAAUCAUAGCUGGGAACUCUGAGUUUUAUUUUUGAAAACUUAUGCAAAACUCCAGAACAAAGGUGAAGUAUAGACAAGAGGAAUAGUACUUGACUUAAUUAUUUUGUCUUUCGAUUAUUUAAGACUUAAGUGCAAGUACUAAGCUCCAUGACACUUCACUCUACUCUGGAAGAAUUUUUAUGUGAAAGCAUGUGUGUCUG
rnacentral:lncRNA from 1 species